rnacentral:lncRNA from 1 species
AUUUGUUCAACUAAAGACGGUGCUCCAGCAUGGCCGCAGUCAAAUGACUGAAACAAGUAAAAGAAAAGGAAAUAUGUCUACCUACAAAACGUUGGCACAAAAUCGAGCCGAUUCUAGAAAUGCUUAGUGUUUCUGUUAUUAACGAUAUUAUUGCUUUUGGUGUUGUGGGGUCGGAGCCUGACCCUGGCUGAGAUUUGAAACCACUUGCUUGUUGCUUGUCAAAACGAGUGGGAAAUCCUCUCCACACCAGAUGAUUGAACAGGAAACACUCGACCCCCUAGGACCUAUGAUGGUCAAGGAGCGGUCAAGCUAGAUCCCUACAUUGUUAUUAUUGUUGUUGUUAUUUUUCUUAAUUUUUCGUUUCAGGCAAUGUAUAUCCCAUAUUUUAAGAUAGCAUGUUGUGAUUUUGAGGGAAACUUGGCUGCUAUUUCUAGCAAGUGAAACAACCCAACCAUAUUAAAACGCCCUUAUUCUUGCUGCUGCUGUUAAUGAGGCUUCUCCUGCUGUUGUUUAUAAUGCUGCUGCUCUUGUUGCUGUUAUCGUUAUUUGCUGUCUUUGUUGUUGUUGUUGUUGUUGUUGAGUGGCAGCACCCAAUCAGUUGUGGCUGAAACAGUCGAACAACAUCAGAGCAGUUAAUCAAACAGAAGAUAUACCACCGCAAUGAAUCACACACACAUUAACCCUACCCCAGCGACUGUCAACAUCUACAACCAUCCAACCGGGACCAUAUAUGCUAUCUGGGUGCUAACUUAAUCAACCUUUGUGACCAAAUACAAACAUCCAAACCAUGCCCCCCUCUACCCAUCAGAAAAAAAAAAAA